AAGCCGACGGGAGUUAAACUGGAA
rnacentral:miRNA from 1 species